ensembl:lncRNA
GGGGCGAAUACUUAUGCAAGGCCCUGCAUACUGAUAUCUUCGAGUCAGUAUUAUUUUCCACUGAGGGUUGGCUGAAACGAGGGUUUUUCCGCAGGUGGAGCAAUGCGAGAACAGAUAGAGCAACUGCGACACACGACACUCCGAGGAUUUAAACUUGAAGCACAUCCUGCCUCUGCUUUUCUCCAGCUCUUGAAACAGGGCGGAUGUGUAGAUGUUGAAGGAUAAUGUCGGGGAAUAUGCAGCUCAUUCAGUUCGCACGGAUUCUUCUGUGUCUCGUGAUUUUCAGGGACCUUUGGCACACAUAUUCAGGUACAUUGGCUAUUUCCCCGGGAAAACACCCAACUUUAAUCACCACUGUCAGGGAUGCCGACUUGCUAUAUGAGUUUUUACUGAGUGGACUUGUGAUUGAUGAAGACAACAAUGUUGGAAUGCGGGACCAAGAAAUGGCGUCUAUGAGGCAGGGACGAGUUUUCUUAAGCCUUAUAAAUGAUGACAUACCUAAAACUGUGCCAGCGAUGGAGGAACUGCUUGUCAUGCUUGAAGAGGAAGCACAGUCCUUUAAUGAGGAUCAUUUUGAGACACUCAUAUUGGGAAUCAUCUAUUCAGCCUACCAGGUCCGUGAGAAGAGGCAAGAGAGUCAGCAGCAGGCGUGGGCAGGUGUCCUCGGGCGCCUGGCCAACGUCACUCUGGUACAGCUACGCAGAUCUUGAAUUAUGCCACAAAAUGCAGAAAACAGUCAGAUCCAGUCGUUCCUCAUCACAUAUGCAUGAAACACAAUAUACAGUAAUCAAUGUCAGUAGAAAAGUUUGUGUAUAAUAUAUAUUUCCUUUCUGUAAGUAAAUAUCAGUGGAAAGAUGGAGUCUGAAGAAUUGUCUGUUGAUUGUGUAUAAUCUUUAGUAGCAGUGGUUGCCCAAUUUGAGUGUAUACCAGAAUUUGUAACUCUGUGAAGCAGUCUGGCAAAACCUGUAGGAUGUUGCUGCUGCUGCCUUCUGGUAAACAGCCAACAAUGAAUAAAAAUUGCAAGUACAACUCUUAAAAAUA